GAUGAAGAACGUAGCGAAAUGCGAUACGUAAUGUGAAUUGCAAAUUCAGUGAAUCAUCGAGUCUUUGAACGCACAUUGCGCCCCAUGGUAUUCCGGGGGGCAUGCCUGUCCGAGCGUCAUUGCUGCCCUCAAGCACGGCUUGUGUGUUGGGCCCCGUCCUCCGAUCCCGGGGGACGGGCCCGAAAGGCAGCGGCGGCACCGCGUCCGGUCCUCGAGCGUAUGGGGCUUUGUCACCCGCUCUGUAGGCCCGGCCGGCGCUUGCCGAUCAACCCAAAUUUUUAUCCAGGUUGACCUCGGAUCAGGUAGGGAUACCCGCUGAACUUAAGCAUAUCAAUAAGCGGAGGA
rnacentral:misc_RNA from 1 species